GGUUAGUUCUCUGGUAGUCUAGGACCUUGGAGUCAGUGCUCCCACUCCAAAGGCUUAGGGCUUGAUCUCUGGUCAGGAACAAAGUUUCCAGAAGUGGUUUGUUAUGGCAUUCAGUUAGUCAGUUCAGUCGCUCAGUCGUGUCCGACUCUUUGCGA